GACAGAGGAUGCAAACGUUGCUCGGAUUUACUGGGCGUAAAGCGCGCGCAGGCGGUCCUGUAAGUCGAGUGUGAAAUCCCGGGGCUCAACCUCGGACGUGCACUCGAUACUGCGGGACUGGAGUACUGGAGAGGAGAGCGGAAUUCCCGGUGUAGAGGUGAAAUUCGUAGAUAUCGGGAGGAACACCGAUGGCGAAGGCAGCUCGCUGGGACGGUACUGACGCUGAGGCGCGAAAGCGUGGGGAGCAAACAGG
rnacentral:rRNA from 1 species